rnacentral:rRNA from 1 species
UACAGAGGAGCCAAGCGUUGUCCGGAUUGACUGGGCGUAAAGCGCACGCAGGCGGUCGCGCGCGUGGGGUGUGAAAUCUGGCCGCUUAACGGCCAGGCGCCAUCCCAUACGGCGCGACUGGAGUGAUGCAGAGGUCGAUGGAAUUGCCGGUGUAGUGGUGAAAUGCGUAGAGAUCGGCAGGAACACCCAGGGGGAAACCAGUCGACUGGGCAUCUACUGACGCUGAGGUGCGAGAGCGUGGGGAGCGAACGGG